rnacentral:rRNA from 1 species
UACAGAGGGUGCGAGCGUUAAUCGGAAUUACUGGGCGUAAAGCGCGCGUAGGCGGCUUUUCAAGUCGAUUGUGAAAUCCCCGGGCUUAACCUGGGAACUGCAGUCGAGACUGUCUAGCUAGAGUAUGGGAGAGGGAAGUGGAAUUUCAGGUGUAGCGGUGAAAUGCGUAGAUAUCUGAAGGAACAUCAGUGGCGAAAGCGACUUCCUGGACCAAAACUGACGCUCAUGUGCGAAAGCGUGGGGAGCAAACAGG